UCCAGACAUUGUCUGUGGGUAAAAGGAAUAUUUCUAAAGAAAUUUUCAUUGCUUUUACUUUUAGGUCAUUUGAGUGCUUAUGAAUAUGGGUACCCUAUAGACCAAAAUAUGUGAAAAAUGCUGCAUGGGAACCAGCAGCACAGGGUUGCUCACACCAUCCUCACCCAUUGUCCAUCUGGAUUUGAUCAGAAGGAAAAACAAGGGAAACGUUGUUCCUUGUCCUGCCAGAGAUGGAGAGGAGCUGAAGCAGUACCUGGGGUGUAAGUCAAAAUGGCCCUGUUGAAAUUGGUUUCCUCUGGGACUAAAAACCCCCAUAUGCUGCCUCUUCUGCCAGUAGUACUUACAUUUUUGUCUGCUUUUCUCCUGAUAAAAUUCCACUGAUGUCAACUACAGCAAACCUUCAUGCUUGCUAAAUGUGUGAACAAGAAGGGAAUAAGGGCCACACUAAACAAACAAAAGUCAAUCAUCAAGGAAUAAGUGGGGCUUUUAGCCUGCUCAAAGAAAAGGCACAGAUGAAGAAACAGCUUUUACCAUUUCAGCCCUGAUGGAAUAUUUCAUGAUGGCUAACAAAAUGCAAGAGUGAAAUUAAAGACUUCUCUUUCCACGGCAGAAAUAAGAAUGAUGACCACAGAUUUCUGGUGGAACUAGAUCUCAGGAUCAAUGUGAAGUGACUGACAGCAUGCAAUUCCAAUGCCUCAGAAUAUAUUGCAGUAUACAGUAGACCCAGGAAUUCCAUCUCCUGGAACUUCUACUUCAUCUUCCACACCUU